rnacentral:rRNA from 1 species
GACGAACCGUGCGAACGUUGUUCGGAAUCACUGGGCUUAAAGGGCGCGUAGGCGGGUCACCAAGUCCGGGGUGAAAGCUUUCGGCUUAACCGGAAAAGGGCCUUGGAUACUGGUGGUCUCGAGGGAGGUAGGGGUCUGCGGAACUUCUGGUGGAGCGGUGAAAUGCGUUGAUAUCAGAAGGAACGCCGGUGGCGAAAGCGGCGGACUGGACCUCUUCUGACGCUGAGGCGCGAAAGCCAGGGGAGCAAACGGG